AGGACAGAAAGACCAGAAUUGGGAAGAAGAAAAAAAUAUCUGGGCCAUAUUCCCUUUGUAUCAGCAGCUUCCUGAUGAGAAUAACAUUCUUGAAAAAGCAGAAGCCAUCAUUGGUCCAUACUUGGAAUGCUGUGAAGUGAGCUGGUCAGUAAUGUAAUGUUCCUGGUAUGCAAGUUUGCUCCACAAAAUAAAGUGGUCCAGGAAAUAUAUGAAAAUGAGGAUGUUCAUGAUUCAAUAUCGUAAACUAAACCCUUCAGGAAGACGUUGCAAACACGUCUGGAGACUUUGAGAAGAUAUCUGGCAAGCCAACCUAUGGCCUGGUUUAAAGGGAGCACAUUCAAACUACAGCAGUUUAAUGAUACACCUGCUAUACCUUUUUGUUGUGAAAUGUUCCUGUGGAUUAUACAUGCAUUUAAUUCUCUGGA